AGAGUUUGAUCAUGGCUCAGAUUGAACGCUGGCGGCAUGCCUUACACAUGCAAGUCGAACGGCAGCACGGGGGCAACCCUGGUGGCGAGUGGCGAACGGGUGAGUAAUACAUCGGAACGUGCCCAGUAGUGGGGGAUAGCUCGGCGAAAGCCGGAUUAAUACCGCAUACGACCUACGGGUGAAAGCGGGGGACCGCAAGGCCUCGCGCUGUUGGAGCGGCCGAUGUCAGAUUAGGUUGUUGGUGGGGUAAAGGCUCACCAAGCCGACGAUCUGUAGCUGGUCUGAGAGGACGACCAGCCACACUGGGACUGAGACACGGCCCAGACUCCUACGGGAGGCAGCAGUGGGGAAUUUUGGACAAUGGGGGCAACCCUGAUCCAGCCAUGCCGCGUGCGGGGAGAAGGCCUUCGGGUUGUAAACCGCUUUUGUCGGGGAAGAAAUCUUCCGGGUUAAUACCUCGGGAGGAUGACGGUACCCGAAGAAUAAGCACCGGCUAACUACGUGCCAGCAGCCGCGGUAAUACGUAGGGUGCAAGCGUUAAUCGGAAUUACUGGGCAAAGCGUGCGCAGGCGGUUAUGCAAGACAGAUGUGAAAUCCCCGGGCUUAACCUGGGAACCGCAUUUGUGACUGCAUAGCUGGAGUACGGCAGAGGGGGAUGGAAUUCCGCGUGUAGCAGUGAAAUGCGUAGAUAUGCGGAGGAACACCGAUGGCGAAGGCAGUCCCCUGGGCCUGUACUGACGCUCAUGCACGAAAGCGUGGGGAGCAAACAGGAUUAGAUACCCUAGUAGUCC
rnacentral:rRNA from 1 species